rnacentral:rRNA from 1 species
GGUUAAGCUAGAAAGGGUGCACGGUGGAUGCCUUGGCACUAGGAGCCGAUGAA